AACGAACGCUGGCGGCAUGCCUAACACAUGCAAGUCGAACGAGACCUUCGGGUCUAGUGGCGCACGGGUGCGUAACGCGUGGGAACCUGCCCUUAGGUUCGGAAUAACUCCCCGAAAGGGGUGCUAAUACCGGAUAAUGUCUUCGGACCAAAGAUUUAUCGCCGUUGGAUGGGCCCGCGUUGGAUUAGCUAGUUGGUAGGGUAAAAGCCUACCAAGGCGACGAUCCAUAGCUGGUCUGAGAGGAUGAUCAGCCACACUGGGACUGAGACACGGCCCAGACUCCUACGGGAGGCAGCAGUGGGGAAUAUUGGACAGUGGGCGAAAGCCUGAUCCAGCAAUGCCGCGUGAGUGAUGAAGGCCUUAGGGUUGUAAAGCUCUUUUACCCGGGAUGAUAAUGACAGUACCGGGAGAAUAAGCGCCGGCUAACUCCGUG
rnacentral:rRNA from 1 species